rnacentral:rRNA from 1 species
UACGAAGGGGGCUAGCGUUGCUCGGAAUGACUGGGCGUAAAGGGCGCGUAGGCGGAUGGCACAGUCAGAUGUGAAAUUCCCGGGCUUAACCUGGGGGCUGCAUUUGAUACGUGUUGUCUUGAGUUCGGAAGAGGGUCGUGGAAUUCCCAGUGUAGAGGUGAAAAUUCGUAGAUAUUGGGAAGAACACCGGUGGCGAAGGCGGCGACCUGGUCCGACACUGACGCUGAGGCGCGAAAGCGUGGGGAGCAAACAGGAU